rfam:Erinaceus europaeus unplaced genomic scaffold scaffold00446, whole genome shotgun sequence
UCCCAGUGAAGAAACACCCAAAUGUCUUACCUCCUGUCCUAGUCCCAGGGCCUGCAAAGGUGAACCCACUAGGACUGACUGGGGGAGAAGAGGAAAUUUGGCUCCCCAAGGAACUGUCUGAGGGAU